CACACCGAGUAACACGUGUCACAUCACCUCACACACUGUCAUUGCCACCUUUCUAGCUUCAAGCAGUGUUCUGGGGAAGAGUUUCAAUUCACUUCUCCAAAACUACACAGUGUCCCUUUAAAACCGAUCACAAUUCACUCCCUUCUUAUUUCACUGUUUUAUGUCAAACGUUCAAGAACCACUGGCAGACAUUUCAAGGUGAGAGUGAGAGCUGUAAAACAGGAUGUUCCACCUCCGUCCAGCCGCCUCCAGCAGAGCGGAAAUCCCUUCCUCCUGAGCGUGGCUGGUGGAAGGAGAGCUGCCGCUGUCGAUGGCUGUCGACACGAAGAGGCACUUAACAAGCUGCGUGUCGACCUUUGGGCGCAGAGGUGUAGACCAGAGGUGCAAUGAAGGAGCUUAAUGUCACGGAAGAGCAACGGUGAUAGUGCUGUGUAAGACGGGUCGACCCGCUGGCCAGAUAUGUGACUCCUGCCUUUGCAUAUUUAGUAUUUUUGGAGAAUAGAGUAAUUUGCUUGCCUGUUGAAAGUUAGAGGAGAAGUUUAAUAUAACUGAGGGUGAAAAACAAGAUAAUGCAACAACAUUUCUGAAAACGCAACUAUUUUUGGGAAAUAAAAGCAUUUUGGACAUGU